rnacentral:misc_RNA from 1 species
UAAUGGCUGGAAAGAACAAAGCACGAGUCAUUGCCCGGACCAGGAACAGACCGCAGCCCCUUUCUUGCUCCCUUUUUGCGCAUUAAGGACUAUAACCACUAUAUAUAUAUAGGCUCAGAAAAAGCUUAUUUAUCGCACGCACUUUUACUUCCCUAUGGUUAUGGUAUAUCCCCUUUCCUAUAGAACUAGAACGAGCCAUAGUAAGCUAUGAGAUUGAUUGAAAAAGCCUUAAAUUAAAGGCGAAGAAGAAUCAUCGAACUAAUGGACAGACCGCAACGCAAGUACUAGAACUCUUUAACUAGAGGAAAG